rnacentral:rRNA from 1 species
GCUGGUGCUUAGAGCGAGGUGGCACGACCCGAUCCCAUUCCGAACUCGGAAGUCAAACGCCUCAGCGCCGACGAUAGUGCAGGGGCAACCCUUUGCGAAAAUAGGUCAGUGCCAGCU